GCGGCCCUCAGCAGCGACCAAAGUUGGGGAAGCCGGCGGCCGUUUCCUCAAUUAUUCAUUCAUGACACCAGAAGCAGAAUGGAGGGCUUAGGAUACCACACGGAGAGGGAUGAAGGAACCUUGGGAAUGGCUGAAGGAGUGGCAGUGAAGGAGGGAGGCCUGGAGGUGAAAGAUAUGCAGAAAAUUACUUUAAUAUUGAAAGCUUCUCUACUCAGACCAUCCUUUGCGGAAUAUUUACACCGAGGUUUCAAGAUCCGUGUCUGAACACCAUCUAGCAGGCAAGCCAGCUGUCGGUUACUGAGACACCAAUGUCAACACCAUCACCACUACCACCACCAACUCCAACGUUAGUAGCACUGUUCUGAUCCCUGUGUAAUCGCCACGGCCACCUGCUGACUCCAC